UUCCGGUUGAUCCCGCCGGACCUGACUGCUAUCGGAUUGAUACUAAGCCAUGCUAGUCUUUGCAGUAAUGCAAGGCAUACGGCUCAGUAACACGUAGUCAACUUACCCUAUGGACGAGGAUAAUCUCGGGAAACUGAGCAUAAUACUCGAUAGAUCAUAAUGCCUGGAAUGGUUUAUGGUUAAAAUGAUUCGUCGCCAUAGGAUGGGACUGCGGCCUAUCAGCUUGUUGGUGAGGUAAUGGCCCACCAAGGCGAUUACAGGUACGGGCUCUGAGAGGAGAAGCCCGGAGAUGGGUACUGAGACAAGGACCCAGGCCCUAUGGGGCGCAGCAGGCGAGAAAACUUUGCAAUGUGCGAAAGCACGACAAGGUUAAUCCGAGUGAUUUCUGCUAAAGAAAUCUUUUGCAAGUCAUAAAACCACUAGUGAAUAAGGGGUGGGCAAGUUCUGGUGUCAGCCGCCGCGGUAAAACCAGCACCUCAAGUGGUCAGGAGGAUUAUUGGGCCUAAAGCAUCCGUAGCCGGCUCUGUAAGUUUUCGGUUAAAUCCAUGUGCUCAACGCAUGGGCUGCCGAAAAUACUGCAUAGCUAGGGAGUGGGAGAGGUAGACGGUACUCGGUAGGAAGGGGUAAAAUCCUUUGAUCUAUCGAUGACCACCUGUGGCGAAGGCGGUCUACCAGAACACGUUCGACGGUGAGGGAUGAAAGCUGGGGGAGCAAACCGGAUUAGAUACCCGGGUAGUCCCAGCUGUAAACGAUGCAGACUCGAUGAUGCAUUGGCAUAUAGCCAGUGCAGUGUCGCAGGGAAGCCGUUAAGUCUGCCGCCUGGGAAGUACGUACGCAAGUAUGAAACUUAAAGGAAUUGGCGGGGGAGCACCACAAGGGGUGAAGCCUGCGGUUCAAUUGGAGUCAACGCCGGG
rnacentral:rRNA from 1 species